ACCCCGCCCGCAGCCCAAACCCUAGAUCAGAUCCCAUCGACCCCUCCCACCAUCGCACCCCUCCUCCCUCGUCCCCAUCUCCUCGCCGCCUCCGCCACGUCCUCCCCGUCCCCGGCCCCCUCCCGAUCCAGUCCUCUGUCUCAUUCCCCUCGUCCAAAACCACCAACGCGACGGCGCACCCACCCAUCCACCAACGCGAGCUCCUCUCUCCCUCGUCUCUCCCUCUCCCCCGCACCACUCCUCCCUGCCACCACCACCACCACCUAUGGCGCCCGAUCCCGCCUGAAGCCGGUGUCCUCCGGCGGCUCCGAGCACACCACGGUGACCCCAUCCCUCUGAUCCUUCCUCCCAUCCAUGGCAGCGAAUGAGCCAUCCAAAUCGACCCCUAUUCCUCGAGAGCAGCGGCAGCACCACCCACACAUGGCCUCCCUGAUGGCGAGAUCCGGCCUCCGCUCCCUGGCGGCGCGCGCCAGGCCCCCCGCCCUGGCCCCGGUCGGGCGCCGCAUGUCCUCCUCCGCCCAUGACGAUGCCUGUCCAUACACCUCCUGAACCCUCCCUCCCUCCCUCUCUUCUAUCCCCUAAUUCGAUCGGUCGUUUGACGUGGAUUUGGGGAUAAACAACAGUAUUUUGUAGAUGAACAGGCCAAAUGGCUUUACUUUUUCAUUAAAGCUAGUCCCAUAUAGUAUAUUGAUUGACGGUUGGAAUCUAGAAUGGUUGUUAUGAUUUAGGUCUGGCACUGGCAGAGCCUCAGUUGAGUAUAUUAGUUAUAGCAGUAUGGCAUGUUUGUUAUUUUAGAUAGGGAAUCGGCGAAGGAUUCUAGGGUACUUUAUCCUUUUGAAGUUGGGUUUUCCCAUUAAGCAAAGUGCACCUUCUCCAGUUUAUCAUUUCAAAAAUCAACUUGUACAGUAAUGAUUUGUGCACUACCACCAUACGUGGUCUUAUUCUAAUCCUUUUCUGAGAAACAUGACUAUGAUGUCAAGUAGCGUGUUUAAGUUUUUGGAGCAAAAGAGUGAGUGUCCAUAUGAUAAAAUAACACGCUAGCUCAUCUUUUUUCUGCUACCCUAAGGAACCCUGAUAACGAAGUUAUGUGGGAGAUUUCUGUGUUAUAUCAUCUUUAGGCAGACGAUGCAGAUUUUGUUUCUUUAGUGAAGUCAGUCUAGCUCAGAAUGCAUUUGCCAGGACAAGACGGGUAGCGUCUGCCCGUCUAGUAGAUCAGUACUUAAGUACACGCCCUCCCUCUCCUCUGUUCUGACAGUAUGGUAUCAUUCUGUUAGGGGUGAACAUAAUACAAGUCUAAGCAGAUUGUACUAACUACUGAGUACUGCUGCUCAUUAGGACACAUGUUUGCUUAGUUUAAAAACAUGCAUUUUUGCUACAGUUUAUGAUUUUGUUUUGUUUAGCAUGCUUCAUAUAUGAUGUAUAUAUAUUGGAUCUUUCGGUUUUAAUAUAAACAAACAACCCCAUUAAUACAUGGAUAUAGCGAUGUUUGAAGUACAAGUUUGUGGCUUAUGGUACUUCUGCAUUCGUGCUUAUCCGUUGUAAUGAAAACUAUUUCUUUGCAUAUUGUUGUCUUAAGGUGUCUUCGUUGUUGAGUUGGUGUACAAAUACGAUAGGUUGUUUGGGUUCAGACAAAAUACUUCUAUUGCUCCUCUAUUGCUGCACCUCCUCCUGCUUGCCUCUUCUCUGAAUCCACUAAACCUGCUGCUGCACUUCUUCUCCGAACCUCUUUCUUGCUGCUCGCUGCUACUCCUCUCCCCAUCCCCACGCUUACAUCUUAUUCUCCUAACCUCGCUGCUGAUCUUCUCUGAAGUCUGAACCCCCUACUAUUGCUGCUGCUGCUCUCUCUCUCUCUUUCUUUCUCUGUAAUUCAAUAGAACUAGUACUGUAUAAUGAUAUGAUAUGUUUAGUUUUAGACUUGUGCUGUGUGGUUUUAAAUUGCUGAUCCAUGAACUGAAUCGUGGCAUAUGACUCUCUGUUCUUAGGUGUGGUAAUUAGUUACACAUGUCACUUGUGUUCUGCACUUGUUGAAUAAAGGACAUCAAUUUGUAGUACUUGUGUUAGAUUUGUUACUGUGGUACAAAUGUUUUCAAUUUGUAGUACUUGUGUUAGCCGAGCAUCAUCGCUGAUCAUCUAGUCCCCGAGGAGAAACGACAUCCGCUGUUUGUGGGAGAUUCACUUCACUAUAUUUACAGUCGAUCACCUAGUUGCAUUUAUUUACCGCAACAUGCGAUCGUGAUGACACAUUCGUUCAUGUUGUAUUGCUAUUGAUUUUGUCUCUCCCCUGACGGUUUUUGGGCAUUGUUAUGCAGGAGCCAUGGGUUUGACUUAGGCAAAGGGGAUCACCCUCACCGUCUCCUUGUUUUGGCCUCCUCGCGUUUCUGCUCGGCGUCGUUGCAGAAAACAAAAAGGGAGCUCCGCAUCCGAGUCUCGGUCAUCUUGUACAGCAAGGAGUUGGGCCAAGGGAGCAAGCAGUGUUGCUGGUCCUUGAGGCCGGAUUCACUAAGAUGGUGCACCACGACGUGCGACACGAGAGCUUCAGGCAUAAAAGGAAGUUGGAAGUGCGAAACCAUGAAGAUUGCUCAAGAAAGUGUAGCAUAUUAUAUAUUGGAAUAGUAGACAUAUCUAGGUUGUAAAGAUUGUAAUAGACUAAUUUAGUGUUGUUUUUGACGAAUUUCAUGUGCUCUCUGGUCAGUUUGAAAUAUUGAUUAUGUAUGUGAUUUCAGUACCUGUGAAACGAAAACCUGGGAUCCGCUUAUCAAAAC
rnacentral:rRNA from 1 species